UUUUAUGUCAUUUGAAGUGGAUUUGGACAGGUUUUGAGUGAAUUCUUUGACAAAGUUGACACCACAAUUUUUGAUGUCUGCGACAGGCGGCGGGUCAUGGUUUGGAGUGAAAAAAGGUCAAAAUUUCAGGUCUAGAUUUUUCACCUAAAAACUACUCAGGGGUAUGUAAAACUUAGUCAGGGGCAUGUUUUAUGUCAUUUGAAGUGGAUUUGGACAGGUUUUGAGUGAAUUCUUUGACAAAGUUGACACCACAAUUUUUGAUGUCUGCGACAGGCGGCGGGUCAUGGUUUGGAGUGAAAAAAGGUCAAAAUUUCAGGUCUAGAUUUUUCACCUAAAAACUACUCAGGGGUAUGUAAAACUUAGUCAGGGGCAUGUUUUAUGUCAUUUGAAGUGGAUUUGGACAGGUUUUGAGUGAAUUCUUUGACAAAGUUGACACCACAAUUUUUGAUGUCUGCGACAGGCGGCGGGUCAUCGUUUGGAGUGAAAAAAGGUCAAAAUUUCAGGUCUAGAUUUUUCACCUAAAAACUACUCAGGGGCAUGUUUUAUGUCAUUUGAAGUGGAUUU